rnacentral:rRNA from 1 species
GUGAGUAACACGUGGGUAACCUGCCGUUGGAAUGGGGAUAACGCCUGGAAACGGGUGCUAAUCCCGAAUGGUUUCCUUUGCCGCAUGGCAGAGGAAGGAAAGGCGCUACGGCGCCGUCCAACGAGGGGCCCGCGGCGCAUUAGCUAGUUGGUGGGGUAAUGGCCUACCAAGGCCGCGAUGCGUAGCCGACCUGAGAGGGUGACCGGCCACACUGGGACUGAGACACGGCCCAGACUCCUACGGGAGGCAGCAGUAGGGAAUCUUCCGCAAUGGGCGAAAGCCUGACGGAGCAACGCCGCGUGAGUGAUGACGGUCUUCGGAUUGUAAAGCUCUGUCAAUUGGGACGAGUGACGGCGAGAGGGAAUGUUCGCCGUGAGACGGUACCGAUGGAGGAAGCCCCGGCUAACUACGUGCCAGCAGCCGCGGUAAUACGUAGGGGGCAAGCGUUGUCCGGAAUGACUGGGCGUAAAGCGCGCGCAGGCGGUUUGUCGCGUCUGAUGUGAAAGACCAGGGCUCAACCCUGGGGGUGCCUUGGAAACGGACAGACUUGAGG